rnacentral:rRNA from 1 species
UACGAAGGGGGCUAGCGUUGUUCGGAAUUACUGGGCGUAAAGGGCGCGUAGGCUGUGCUGUAAGUCAGGCGUGAAAGCCCCGGGCUCAACCUGGGAAUUGCGCGUGAUACUGCGGCGCUGGAAGGUGGGAGAGGAUGGCGGAAUUCCCAGUGUAGAGGUGAAAUUCGUAGAUAUUGGGAAGAACACCGGUGGCGAAGGCGGCCAUCUGGCCCACAGUUGACGCUGAGGCGCGAAAGCGUGGGGAGCAAACAGG